GGCCGCGGGAAUUCGAUUCAGGCCUACACAUGCAAGUCGAACGCCCCGCAAGGGGAGUGGCAGACGGGUGAGUAACGCGUGGGAAUCUACCCAAUUCUACGGAACAACAGUUGGAAACGACUGCUAAUACCGUAUACGCCCUACGGGGGAAAGAUUUAUCGGAAUUGGAUGAGCCCGCGUAAGAUUAGCUAGUUGGUGAGGUAAUGGCUCACCAAGGCGACGAUCUUUAGCUGGUCUGAGAGGAUGAUCAGCCACACUGGGACUGAGACACGGCCCAGACUCCUACGGGAGGCAGCAGUGGGGAAUAUUGGACAAUGGGCGCAAGCCUGAUCCAGCCAUGCCGCGUGAGUAAAGGAGGCCUUAGGGUUGUAAAGCUCUUUCAGUGGGGAAGAUAAUGACGUACCCACA
rnacentral:rRNA from 1 species